rnacentral:rRNA from 1 species
AGGACGAACGCUGGCGGCGUGCUUAACACAUGCAAGUCGAGCGAGGCCCUUCCUUCGGGAAGGUGCCCUAGCGGCGAACGGGUGAGUAACACGUGGGCAACCUGCCCCUAGCACUGGGAUAAGCCCGGGAAACCGGGUCUAAUACCGGAUACGAGAUCCGAGGGCAUCCUCGGACCUGGAAAGGAUUCUGGCUAGGGAUGGGCCCGCGGCCUAUCAGCUUGUUGGUGGGGUAACGGCCCACCAAGGCGACGACGGGUAGCCGGCCUGAGAGGGCGACCGGCCACACUGGGACUGAGACACGGCCCAGACUCCUACGGGAGGCAGCAGUGGGGAAUAUUGCACAAUGGGCGAAAGCCUGAUGCAGCGACGCCGCGUGAGGGAUGACGGCCUUCGGGUUGUAAACCUCUUUCAGCUCCGACGAAGCGAAAGUGACGGUAGGGCAGAAGAAGCACCGGCCAACUACGCGCCAGCAGCCGC